rfam:Gaeumannomyces graminis var. tritici R3-111a-1 unplaced genomic scaffold supercont2.6, whole genome shotgun sequence.
GGCCUAGUGGCGCAACGGUAGCGCGUUUGACUCCAGAUCAAAAGGUUAUCCGUUCAAAUCGGGUCUGGGUCA